UGCAUUGGUGGGCAGCUGAGUGCUUGGGGGAAGCGGAGGCAAUCUGUGUCCUAGAGCAGCUACUCCAACCUGGCGAUCCUUGAAGACUGCUUGCACUUCUGCUGCCAAGUGCAUGAGCCAGAGAAGGGUAAUUAAGGUGGAAGCAAAGAAGGAGCCCCUUUUAAUCGCCACCAAAGCAGCCGCUCUGGGGAACUGGCAGGGCUCUGUCCUGCAAGGUUAUUAGAGUUCUCAUUUGUAUUGUCCUUGGAAGAGGUUCUUCAGGGCCGCUGGCUCAGAGCACAGAAAUCAACAGGGAGUAAGACCCCAGAAGCAGGACCCUAGCGGGCUGGGUUGUUUUACUCACCUGGCUUUGGGCCUGAGGAACUAACCUUCCUUCUUAAAACAAGAUGCAAUGGCAAAUGAUGGACUCUGGGGUCAGGAGGAGAGAAUGGAUGUCAACACGUGGCAGCAAAAGCCCAGUUGUGGACACUUAAGUACUUCAGGCAAGCCUGACCUGGUGUCCAAGGCAAAAGACAGACUGUAAAGUCCUGCCUAAUGUGUCACUCAACAUACAGAAACCCCAAGAGGAAUUGUGAGCUCAUGUGAACAUGUCCUUUGCUGGAGGAGCUGGUGGAUUGAAGAAGAGGGAAGCAGAUGCAUGAGUGAAUCCCAGAGGUCAAGCAGACAAGAAAAACAGAAAUCUUGGGGCUGGUCUGGAAUUGAGUGAGGGAGGAGCCUGGAGUUUUUACCGACUUGCCACCAGCCCCAGUACUCUCCACACUUCAACAAUCAAAGGGAAGCCUGUGUAAUUAAUACUAUUUAGGCCAGGUUAAUGACAGGGGGAAAUGUCUCUUGUCAGCCCAGCUUUGCCUGUUGGUCCUGAUUUAGCAACAUGAAAGCAUUUUUUCUGAUUAGCUGUUCAGUGAAGGAGAUAAAAGAGAUGGCCAUGAAAUGUUUUGUUUAAUGUGAUGAAUGUAAAGGGACUGUUAGCACUGGGGAAGGGAGAGAGGAGAGGACACAAAAAGAAAGAGAGGUCUGGAACAGCAGAUGGUGCUAUGGCAUGAGACAGGCACAAUUGGGUGUGGGAAACCUGGGACUGGAAUAGUUGGGGGACUGCAGGUGAGGAGUGAAGGGUGCUGAUCUAGCUGGAGUUGGGACUGCAGGACAGCACUGGAAUAUUUUUAAGGGAGGUCACAAAACAGUGAGCAAAAGAGAACCAGUGGCUCUAAUUUAUUUAGAUUUUUGAAAGGCUUGUGAUAAAAUCCCUCACAAAAGGCAACCUGAUUGCAGAAUUUAGCUUUCUCAUUUGGUUAUCAAUUAAAAAUUGUUGGGGGGGGAGCUAGAACACAAAGAGGUGCAAUGAAUGGCUGUUUCUGAGCAUGGAAGAAGUUUUAAUAGCAGGAUGCUCCAGGGAACAUACCCCUAGCUGUCUAGUAUAGUUACUAAAGUGACACUGGUUAAAAGUUAUAUUUAAACAACAACAAAAUAUCUUAUUUGUCCCUAAAAGAGAUGGCAGUAGGCUCCAUUAGAAUCAUUCAACUGGCCUCCAGAAUACUGCACAUUUAAUGAUUUAAACUGAUUGCCCUAAUAGAAAUUCAAAAUCUAAUCAGUGAAAAUAGGUUAGUGCAGUUCAAUUUCUGUGUACAGUCAAUUUCUGGGAAAUUUCACUUUCUGGUUCUCUGGUGUUAUCAGGCUGUAGAAACGAUUAGGGACCAGUAUGAGUUAAUAGCUGAAUGAAAAAUUUUAUUAAUUGGGGGAAGAAGGUGGGCAUCCUGGAAAUAUUCCCCCGAUGUUUAUAAAACAUUGAAUUUAAGCAAAGAGAAACGUUAUGGUGAAACCAGCUAGUCCUGUCUCUUUAAUAAUUCUGGGAAGGGGGGGCAGGAGUGGAGGCACAUACAAAAUUAUUUAGAAAGGUAAUUGGUUUACAAGGUAGAAGACAAAUGUCCUUGUAGAUAAGAGCAAAGUGCUGGACAUUGAAGGAAUAGAGUAAGAUUUCUGAACAAACUGGGCAUUCUGAAUGAGCUGUAGCCUGAAGGUAAACAAGCACGUUAUCUUCUCUGACAGUGGAUUGUAGUGGACAAGAAAUAACACAAACCACAAGUUAGGUUGUUAUAGGGGCUUUUCUAUAAGCAGAUAAUGUGCCCUCCUUUGGAACCCUGGUUUUGAUUGUGGUCAUCUCCUCUCCGAGAGGUUGGUAUGGAAAUAGAAAAGUUCCCAAGAAAACAAUGGAAAUGCCAAUAGGGAUGUAAAGCUUCAGUACAGGUGAGAGAAAUGUGGACCAAUUAUGUAGAGAAGAGAAAUUAUAAUGGAAUAUCAAAUAAUGACAUGCUAAAGGGCAGACACACAUAUUGUGCUCAGUGCAGGGGUAACUAAAUGAGAUUCUAUGGUUUAUGUUAUACAGGAAGUCACAGUAGAUGAAUCAGUGUACCCAGGUUCAAAAGAAGAUUUGGUAUUUCUGUGAAUGAGGACAUCAAACAUUUUUCAGUUAGCUGUAAGUCAGGAAGAAAAGACUCCUGCCAUGGUACAGGGGCAUUUUCACUGACUGGCAUUCUUGCAUACUGGCCUCUGGCUUCUAUUCUAUUCUCUCCCAUUCAGGAAGAGCACAGAACAACUGCAGAUGCUUCCUCAGCCUGAAGAAGGGUGUUUGUACCCAAAAGCUUGCAAAGAAGAAUUUUUUCCAGCUGCUUUAGGUGGUCUAAUAAAAGAUAUCGGAUUUACCCUAAGAACCUUGUUUGCCUCCUGCCGUGGUAAGCAGCCAUUGUUAGUUAGGAUCAUUAUGUUGAGAGUUAUCCCUUUUUUGAAGAUCCUGCCAUUGGCUAUUGCUAGAUGCAAGAAGCUGGACUAGAAGGAGAGAUCCUCUACCCAACAAUGCAUGACAGUUAUUUAUCCAUAUUGUGUGUGCGCGCGCGCAUGCACACCUACUGCAGCACUGAGCAAAGUAGUUUGAUGGGAGUCUGCUCCAUUUUGUGGCUUGAGUUUUAACUGAUCAGUACUGUGUGUACCAUAAGCCACGGCGUAACGUUGCAACUAGUCCCAGCUGGGUCAUGACAGGGCCUCAAGGUACAGUUCUCCACAAGUCUCACAAGCCAGCUUGUCAAACUUCCCUUGACAAUAAG